AUAAGGGGGUUCAAAAUCUGAAAAGUAAACACACGAACUAGUGGAAGAGGGUUCGACAUCUAUUAUACACCAACCAUUUUCUCUACUUAUGAGACGAAACGAUCAACAUGUUGUGAUGCAAAAUUAUCGGAUGUUUGCAUUAGUACAUCAGCACCUCUAACUUAUCUUAGUGCUCAUUAUUUCAAAGUUGAAGAUGGCAAAGGCAAUGUUAGAGAACAUCAUCUCAUUGAUGGUGACAUUGCUGCUAAUAAUCCGGGUAAAUUUGGAAACAGGUUUGACAGAACCAAUUCCUAAAGGAGGCACUAAUGAGGAAGCCCUUAAGAGGUUUGCAAUAUUAUUGGUAAAUGAAAGAAGAUUUCACGAAUCAAGAUCACCACUUAUCAAGAAAGCUUCGAAGUAAUGCGAUCAUAAAAAAAAUCUUAAGAAUUAAGUUGUUUAAGUAAUAUAUAUUGUCACUAUAAAUUUCCUAGCUAGCUAUGUUCCCAAUGAAAUUUCCAAUUUUGGAGGGAAUAUUAGGCAUA